rnacentral:lncRNA from 1 species
CACACAUAUGUUAGCAGAUAACUGACAUUGAGGUUUUUUAAAAAGUGCUGUCUUUCAGACAAGAAGAUAUCCAUCAAAAGGCCUUUGCAAAGGAGAAGAAUUAUUCUAACUAAAAAGACAAAUUAAGUCACUUCGUAGAUUCCAGUCGAAUGAAGCAUUGAAUAAGACAGACUUCACAUAAAGCCAGACAAGAAGUUGUCACAGUAAAGCAAACCAAGAGAAUGAGGAGAAAGAACUCUGGCCAUAAAUGUAACAAAAAAGUAAGUAGCAUUCCUCUU